rnacentral:tRNA from 1 species
GCCGGAGUGGCGGAACUGGCAGACGCGCACGGUUCAGAGCCGUGUAUCGCAAGAUGUGAGGGUUCGAAUCCCUCCUCCGGCA